rnacentral:rRNA from 1 species
AGCAGCCGCGGUAAUUCCAGCUCCAAUAGCGUAUAUUAAAGUUGUUGCAGUUAAAAAGCUCGUAGUUGAAUUUCGGAAUCUGUCCGUUGGUCGGGCUUAACUGUCCGUACUGAUGUGAUGGGUUCUUACCUUCUGAAUAACCAGCAUGUCAUUAAUUUGGUGUGUUGGGGAAGCAGGACUAUUACCUUGAAAAAUUAGAGUGCUCAAAGCAGGCUAGUGCCUGAAUACAUUAGCAUGGAAUAAUAAAAUAGGACGGCAUGGUUCUAUUUUGUUGGUUUCUAGGAUCACCGUAAUGAUUAAUAGGGAUAGUUGGGGGCAUUAGUAUUCAAUUGUCAGAGGUGAAAUUCUUGGAUUUAUUGAAGACUAACUUCUGCGAAAGCAUUUGCCAAGGAUGUUUUCAUUAAUCAAGAACGAAAGUUAGGGGAUCGAAGACGAUCAGAUACCGUCGUAGUCUUAACCAUAAACUAUGCCGACUAGGGAUCGGACGAUGUUAAUUUAUAAUGACUCGUUCGGCGUACCG